AGGUAGGACUAUUAUUUUUAGAAAGCCUAUGUAGUUGGGCGGCAUUUUAUCAUAUGAGAGGAACCUGUCUUUUAAUCGAUAUUCCACGAUAUUUUUUACUUCUAUUAAAAUUUUAUAUACCUCCAUCUUAAGGAUUAACAUUUAUCUUCUCCCCAAAAUAGAUUUCUAAUAAGUUAGGUAAAGGUGUAGACUAUAUAGAAGAUAAGGUGGGUUACAAUAAAAUUUCAUUUAAGGAAAAUUAAUCAAAAUUUUUUUAGAAAAGGGAUUUAUUAGUAAAAUUUGAAAAAUAUUUCCAUUUGAAUUUGAUAAUAAAUGUGC
rnacentral:rRNA from 1 species